rnacentral:rRNA from 1 species
GCCGGAGGGAAACCGAGUCUUAAUUGGGCGUUAAGUUGCAGGGUAUAGACCCGAAACCCGGUGAUCUAGCCAUGGGCAGGUUGAAGGUUGGGUAACACUAACUGGAGGACCGAACCGACUAAUGUUGAAAAAUUAGCGGAUGACCUGUGGCUGGGGGUGAAAGGCCAAUCAAACCGGGAGAUAGCUGGUUCUCCCCGAAAGCUAUUUAGGUAGCGCCUCGUGAAUUCAUCUCCGGGGGUAGAGCACUGUUUCGGCUAGGGGGCCAUCCCGGCUUACCAACCCGAUGCAAACUGCGAAUACCGGAGAAUGUUAUCACGGGAGACACACGGCGGGUGCUAACGUCCGUCGUGAAGAGGGAAACAACCCAGACCGCCAGCUAAGGUCCCAAAGUCAUGGUUAAGUGGGAAACGAUGUGGGAAGGCCCAGACAGCCAGGAUGUUGGCUUAGAAGCAGCCAUCAUUUAAAGAAAGCGUAAUAGCUCACUGGUCGAGUCGGCCUGCGCGGAAGAUGUAACGGGGCUAAACCAUGCACCGAAGCUGCGGCAGCGACGCUUAUGCGUUGUUGGGUAGGGGAGCGUUCUGUAAGCCUGCGAAGGUGGCCUGUGAGGGUUGCUGGAGGUAUCAGAAGUGCGAAUGCUGACAUAAGUAACGAUAAAGCGGGUGAAAAGCCCGCUCGCCGGAAGACCAAGGGUUCCUGUCCAACGUUAAUCGGGGCAGGGUGAGUCGACCCCUAAGGCGAGGCCGAAAGGCGUAGUCGAUGGGAAACGGGUUAAUAUUCCCGUACUUGGUGUUACUGCGAAGGGGGGACGGAGAAGGCUAUGUUGGCCGGGCGACGGUUGUCCCGGUUUAAGCGUGUAGGUGUGUGUUCCAGGUAAAUCCGGUUCACUUUAACACUGAGGCGUGACGACGAGGCACUACGGUGCUGAAGCAACAAAUGCCCUGCUUCCAGGAAAAGCCUCUAAGCAUCAGGUAACAUCAAAUCGUACCCCAAACCGACACAGGUGGUCAGGUAGAGAAUACCAAGGCGCUUGAGAGAACUCGGGUGAAGGAACUAGGCAAAAUGGUGCCGUAACUUCGGGAGAAGGCACGCUGACACGUAGGUGAAGUGAUUUACUCAUGGAGCUGAAGUCAGUCGAAGAUACCAGCUGGCUGCAACUGUUUAUUAAAAACACAGCACUGUGCAAACACGAAAGUGGACGUAUACGGUGUGACGCCUGCCCGGUGCCGGAAGGUUAAUUGAUGGGGUCAGCGCAAGCGAAGCUCCUGAUCGAAGCCCCGGUAAACGGCGGCCGUAACUAUAACGGUCCUAAGGUAGCGAAAUUCCUUGUCGGGUAAGUUCCGACCUGCACGAAUGGCGUAAUGAUGGCCAGGCUGUCUCCACCCGAGACUCAGUGAAAUUGAACUCGCUGUGAAGAUGCAGUGUACCCGCGGCAAGACGGAAAGACCCCGUGAACCUUUACUAUAGCUUGACACUGAACAUUGAGCCUUGAUGUGUAGGAUAGGUGGGAGGCUUUGAAGUGUGGACGCCAGUCUGCAUGGAGCCGACCUUGAAAUACCACCCUUUAAUGUUUGAUGUUCUAACGUGGACCCGUUACCCGGGUUGCGGACAGUGUCUGGUGGGUAGUUUGACUGGGGCGGUCUCCUCCUAAAGAGUAACGGAGGAGCACGAAGGUUGGCUAAUCCUGGUCGGACAUCAGGAGGUUAGUGCAAUGGCAUAAGCCAGCUUGACUGCGAGCGUGACGGCGCGAGCAGGUGCGAAAGCAGGUCAUAGUGAUCCGGUGGUUCUGAAUGGAAGGGCCAUCGCUCAACGGAUAAAAGGUACUCCGGGGAUAACAGGCUGAUACCGCCCAAGAGUUCAUAUCGACGGCGGUGUUUGGCACCUCGAUGUCGGCUCAUCACAUCCUGGGGCUGAAGUAGGUCCCAAGGGUAUGGCUGUUCGCCAUUUAAAGUGGUACGCGAGCUGGGUUUAGAACGUCGUGAGACAGUUCGGUCCCUAUCUGCCGUGGGCGCUGGAGAACUGAGGGGGGCUGCUCCUAGUACGAGAGGACCGGAGUGGACGCAUCACUGGUGUUCGGGUUGUCAUGCCAAUGGCACUGCCCGGUAGCUAAAUGCGGAAGAGAUAAGUGCUGAAAGCAUCUAAGCACGAAACUUGCCCCGAG